rnacentral:rRNA from 1 species
CCUACGGGUGGCAGCAGUGAGGAAUAUUGGUCAAUGGGCGAGAGCCUGAACCAGCCAAGUCGCGUGAAGGAUGAAGGAUCUAUGGUUUGUAAACUUCUUUUAUAUGGGAAUAAAAGGAGGAACGUGUUCCUUUUUGUAUGUACCAUAUGAAUAAGCAUCGGCUAACUCCGUGCCAGCAGCCGCGGUAAUACGGAGGAGGCGAGCGUUAUCCGGAUUUAUUGGGUUUAAAGGGUGCGUAGGUGGUUAAUUAAGUCAGCGGUGAAAGUUUGUGGCUCAACCAUAAAAUUGCAGUUGAAACUGGUUGACUUGAGUGUAUAAGAGGCAGGCGGAAUGCGUGGUGUAGCGGUGAAAUGCAUAGAUAUCACGAAGAACUCCGAUUGCGAAGGCAGCUUACUAAACUGUAACUGACACUGAGGCACGAAAGCGUGGGGAUCAAACAGGAUUAGAUACCCUUGUAGUC